UACGAAGGGUGCAAGCGUUAAUCGGAAUUACUGGGCGUAAAGGGUGCGUAGGCGGUUCGUUAAGUCUGUUGUGAAAUCCCCGGGCUCAACCUGGGAAUGGCAAUGGAUACUGGCGAGCUAGAGUGUGUCAGAGGAUGGUGGAAUUCCCGGUGUAGCGGUGAAAUGCGUAGAGAUCGGGAGGAACAUCAGUGGCGAAGGCGGCCAUCUGGGACAACACUGACGCUGAAGCACGAAAGCGUGGGGAGCAAACAGG
rnacentral:rRNA from 2 species